rnacentral:rRNA from 1 species
GAUCCUGGCUCAGGAUGAACGCUAGCUACAGGCUUAACACAUGCAAGUCGAGGGGCAGCGGGAAGUCAGCUUGCUGACUUUGCCGGCGACCGGCGCACGGGUGAGUAACACGUAUCCAACCUCCCGCAUACUCGGGAAUAGCCUUUCGAAAGAAAGAUUAAUGCCCGAUGGUUUCAAGGGAUUGCAUGGUAUCUUGAAUAAAGAUUCAUCGGUAUGCGAUGGGGAUGCGUUCCAUUAGG